CGAUUCGCAAUCUUUCUGCUUUCCCGUUCCAGUAUCGAUAUUAUCGUCUCGAACGAGUGUUUUUUCUUCUCGAUUUGCAAUCCUUCUGUUUUCCUGUUCCCUUUCGCUCGUCGUCCUUCCGGCCGGUCGUGUUUCUUCCUCGUUCCCAGAGAUGUUCGACGGAUCGUCUUAUUUUCGCUCUGUAUUUGUUACUACCGGUCCCGCGAGUGGGACCGUUUCGCAAACGUUCCUGCGUUCACGUGGCUCGCCGUUGCGACGAACUUCGCUUCCGAACGCACCGUGGGUUUUCCCACGACACCACGGUUCCCAGGGUAUGUCGAAGGGGCUCACUUUAAGGCGAAUUUUCAAAAUAUCCGAGUACAAUUUACAGACACGAUCGCCGAGCGGAUAAACACGUCCGACGACUUUUUCCUCUGAGUUCACGUACGUGACUCCCGACGACACGCGGCGGGUUCUUCAAAGGUGGUACGAUCCGCGCUCGACCGAGAUCUACCGUCGACUAAAACGACGCUUCGAGCGUAAUCCUUGAUGGACGGUCACCGACGCUCAUCCAUUACGUCCCUCCGAAUUUCGUCGGAUCGGUACGGCAGUGAAGUCGAGCUCGCACGUGGCAGGAUGAAGAGCAACACUUGAGUUCCCCGGUGAACAUCGCAGCAAUUUCUUCGUAUGUUGAGUUUUCGAUAUCGAUCGGUAGAUGACAGUGUGGAUACACUCAUAAUUAGAUACUUGGAUCAAGAUGAAAGAACUCGUAUUAGAGAAUUGGUCUAUCGACGGAGCAACGGCGACUGCUGAUUCGCUAUUGGCUCACUGGUUCAUCAGUUCCAAUUUCUCUUUGCAAUACUUUGUCAACGUACCAUUGGUAAUCGUUAUCAUUAACAGAUGGCAGUGUGGAUGUAUUCAUAAUUAGAUACUUGGAUCAAGAUGAAGAAAUCGUGUUAGAGAAUUGGUCCAUCGACGGAGCAGCGGUGGCUGCUGAUUCGCUAUUGGCUCUUCAUCAUUGGUUCGUAGCGUGGAGCCGAAUGUAACCGGUAACGCGAUGAUCCGACUCGCUUCGUUGCUCUAAUCGUUGAAACGUGCAUACGAUUAAAGGUACGCGACUAGCAGACCCGUUCGAGUACAGUGUUCGACGAUAUUGAUCCAGAUACGUAAGAAUGAAUGGACGAAUGAUGGAACGAAGAAGUGGAAAAAUGCAAGGACAGACGCGAGGACCUGCCGCAGCUGCGCGCUGUACCGGCUACCGAACUAUUGCCGGUGUACGGCGCGAGCCUACAUAGAAUCGGUACGAAGCCGGUGUAUAACUGUACCCGAGCAGAGUCACGUGACAAAUGAGGCAGGCAGAAGAGCGCACGUGUAUCCUCGAUAGGCCGAUCCUUCGACGGGGCGACCGUGAUCGAUUCCCGAGAGCCGGACUUCGUCGAUACCGAUCGCUCGUCGCGAAUUUACCAGAUAAUAACUUCCCAGUCGUCGGAUUCAUAGAUAAAUCGAUUUCACUUGGCACCGUUGGACAAGUUUUACACUUUACGGACGGUGAUUCCAUGAAAUAUACGAAAGCUUCGGCAGAUAAAGCUGAAUUAUCUGUCAAUUGUUUGAUUAAUAUAGAAAAGGAAACUAUAUGAUGAUCUCUUGCUGUUCGAGUAAUUAAAUCAUUGCGACUUAUUCCAAAUACGAAACGGACAUUCUAGUAGCUUUCUUCAUUUUCAAUGUUACUUGGAAAUUGUGUAUUAAUUAAAAGAGGAAAUAGUAGUAUAUACUUGUACACAAAAGUAACGUUUGUUGAGGACGCAAUGAACAGGGCAGGUGCUCGCAGAUUGAUAAUGAAAUAAUAUUGAUUAGUAAUUGUCUAAUAAAUUAAUUAAUAUUGAUUAGUAAUUAUCCAAUUCAAAUUAAAUCGUUCGAUUGCAACUUAGUGUCACAAACAUGGAAGUCUAAUCUCAACAAACGGUUCAAACGAAACGGACAUUCCAAUUCAUUGCAAAAAUCAUCGUGACGCCGCUAGUACAACCGGUCAGUUUUGUUUUGAUUCGCGUCGUGUCGAGUGUCGCGCGUAUUUCGCGCGGCAAUCAAAACACGAACGGCUGACUAAGCCUAUCGCGAAUCGCGUAGCGUAAUUUUCGUUUCAUGUUACUCAACGGUGUCAUCAAACGCGUGAUUAAUGUCGCAAUGCGGCGAGCAGCGAACCGUAUCGGAUGGAGAGAGGACUCGAUCGAAUUCGCCGGAAGAAGAGAUCGAGAAAAGGAUGAAAAUCUUCCGGAAACCUUGCUACCUCGUCGAGCGCCCCCUUUCGAUCGUCGCGCGAGCUUGCGUUCCGAUAGAUCGGCGCCGGUGCAACCGUGCCGCGAUAUCAGGACAGCAGCGCGAGCAGGAGACGGCCGAUUGCGCCGUUUUCACCGUUCGCGAAGUUCGCAUCGCUGCCACUGAUGCUGCAACCGAUACAUUGCCGCGGUCUGUAAUUGCACCGCAAACCAAUGGCGGCUCGUAGCUAAAAUCAGUGGGGGUGCUGCUCCAGAAAAUGUUUAGUCUUCGUUUGAAAAUGUUCGUAUCCUUUUCAUAAACUGGGGGAUGGCUACUGACAUGAACACUAGGAAGGUACAGAUAGUUUAAGAAACGAUUGAAGAAGCUGAUUUAGCAAUACCUAAACUAAAAUCUUAAUAAACUCACGCUUGUAGAUUUCAUAAAGAAAUGUUCAAAGGACGGUUCAAGUACUCGGUAGUUCUAGUGUUAAGUUUAACACGUUCACUAUCAGUUUUAGUGGCGUUCCUCUCAAUUCUAAUAUUUUAUUCAAAUCAAUCUUCUGAAACUGUUGAAACAGAUGAAGUUAAAGCGAGUCACUGAAUUCCUAAAUGUAAUUUCGUAGCUUACAACUUUAACUAACUAUAUCUACAGGAUUAAUUUCAUUUUCUUUAUAGAAAGUAUAGGAUUGCGGUCGUCACGCAAAGGCGACAGUGGUAGCGACCGAGUUAAGGAUUAUAUACAAGUAUAAAGAAAGAAUUAGAGGAAAAUUGACUCAUUAUAUUAAAUGUUAUCGAUAAUAUCAAGUGGAAAUUUGCUUCUGCAGUUCCACAAUGCCUAUACGCGAGCCGCCACUGCAAACAUUAUUCAUAGUUUCUCUCUUUCCCCUGCAUUCUCUUUUCCCCUCUACUCGUCGACGACCGAACGGAAAGGCGAUUUUGCGAUCGUCGUGCACCGACGACAGGCUGCUGCGAGUGAGAUCGAUAAUAUUUACGAAUUCACGACACCGAUGAGAUCGUGGAUAACGAACCAUAAACGGCGCACACCGCGAUACUUUUACCGCGUGAAACGGCAACGAUUCGCUUCGCGCGAGCGUUUCUUUCCCGUCACGAAAUCGUGAGGCGCCUACUUGGAAAAUCGAUGGACGCGUAUUUCUCAUCGAUAGAGGGAAUCCGUAAAUACGAAACGGUCGACGACCCAUGCAGCGAUACGCGACACGCAACUCGAGUCACGCCAUGUCUCAAAUUCGACCGAAGAUCGCUGGCUCAUGGAUCGUUUUCGAAUCACGAGCGCGGUACGAGUCGCCAUUGCUACGGCGGAGCAGCCGGUAAAAACGACUCCUGUCGCGCCUUCUGUGCCGAGACAUCGUGACGACAAGAAACGAGAGGAAGACGGAAAGAAAGGGAAGAAGAAGAUUCGGUAUCAACGUUGCGAGUCGCUUUCGUGGACAAUUCCAUUGGCGCGAUUCGGAACGGAACGGAACGCAAGUUAAAAUUUCGCUCGGUCUCGGUUCUCUUUUCAAAGUUCGCUCGUUGACCGUACGCGAGACGGUAACACCACAAAAACGAGGCACGCGGCGACUUUCGUCUCAGUUUCGUCUCGUUCUCGUUCUCUCGACCGCAGAAAAAUGUCCGCGAAACACGCUUCCACCCUGAAACGUCGUUCUAUACUUAUACCGAGCCCGAUAAAAGCGAAACGAAUAGGAUCGAAAACCGCAUGUAACAGAGGCGACCAGCGGUUGCCGGUACACCGGCUUUUCGUUCCACGUGCUUUCACGAAAAUCCUCCUAGACCAGUUUCUACCUUUUCAUGUUAGAUCUCGAAGGAAUAUUUCAAUUAUCGUCGAUUUCCUUCCUCGAUCGAUCCUCCUCGAUUUCGUUCGGUUGAACGUCGGAGAACGAAGUUUAUACCGGCUCGUGGAAUGACUUUCAUUGAUCCGAAUACCAGCUGGUCGGGAUGAUCUUUAACGGCGUAAGUUUCGCGGCGUCUGAACGAGGGCUCCGGGGAAUACACCGAGCAAGAGUUUUCGCUAGGUUUCUAUUGGCCGUCGUUUCGCAACCGUAACGCCUGCAACUCGAAUUUUGAUCGGUACUUCAUAUUCGCUGUACGUCGCCGUGCAAUGUACGAGACGCGUAUUUGCUCGCGUGUGUGGUUGCAUAUGCGGUUUCCAACUUUUACGCUACUAGAUUAAAAUUCUUCCCCAAAAAAAACCCUUCUGCGUCUCUCUAUCUUUUAACCCUUCGCGGACGAAUGUCGAGAUUUCGAGAUGAAAUUUUCAUAUUUGAAAGACUGAGUCGUAAACAAAUGAUUUAAUUACUCGAGUCGCAAGAAAUCGGCACAUAGUUUCCUACGUUUCUAUUGUUCAUGUAAUUGAUGUAUAAUUUAGCUGCAUCUG